GGGGGCAGGCCGAGAGUCAUUCACCAACCGUUUCCUGAGACGAUCUGACCUGAUCGGGCCACCAUGGCUAGGACCAGGAGACUCAGGCGUCGCCAUCUAAGAGGCCAGAAUGAGACGGCGGAGAGAAGAAUAGGCGUUAGAAGCAGCCGGCCCAGGAGGCGCAGGGCCAGGCGGAGGAGGAGACCUGUGAGAGGCGGCAGGAGGCAACGUACUCGUCCGAGACGGUGCUGAGCUUCCAACUCCAGGCCAGGACCCUCCAGAACCCACCAGGACCCCCAAGCCUGUGAGAACUGGCCGGAGAAGACCAAGGCCAGAUGAUCCAACACAAGAUUCCACAGGCCUCGAACAUCUUGCAGGGCCCAUGACUGUACUGCUUUAAGUGGAAUUAAAGUGACUGAAACAGA